UCCGCCGUCAUCCACCUAUCAUGGUGGAAGCU
rnacentral:sRNA from 1 species